CAGCGCCGCCGCCUCUUGUGGCCAAACCACCCACUCCACCAAUUGCCAAGCCGCCAACUCCACCACUUACCAAGCCAUCACCACCAAUUCACAAGCUCCCUACUCCUCCUUGCCCCCACCACCCCCACAGCCACCAAGCCACCAACUCCACCACUUACCAAGCCAUCACCACCAAUUCACAAGCUCCCUACUCCUCCCCUUGCCAAGCCACCAACUCCACCACUUACCAAGCCACCAACUCCACCACUUACCAAGCCAUCACCACCAAUUUACAAGCCACCUGCUCCUCCACUUACCAAGCCACCAUCUCCUCCGCUUGCCAAGCCACCAUCUCCUCCGUAUACCAAGCCAACUCCUGUCAUCCCACCAGUGAAGCCAC
rnacentral:lncRNA from 1 species